CACAGGUGCUGCAUGGCUGUCGUCAGCUCGUGUCGUGAGAUGUUCGGGUUAAGUCCCGCAACGAGCGCAACCCUUGUCAUUAGUUGCUACAUUCAGUUGGGCACUCUAAUGAGACUGCCGGUGACAAACCGGAGGAAGUGGGGAUGACGUCAAGUCCUCAUGGCCCUUAUAGGUGGGGCUACACACGUCAUACAAUGGCCGGUACAAAGGGUCGCAAACCCGCGAGGGGGAGCCAAUCCAUCAAAGCCGGUCGUAGUCCGGAUCGCAGUCUGCAACUCGACUGCGUGAAGUCGGAAUCGCUAGUAAUCGUGGAUCAGCAUGUCACGGUGAAUACGUUCCCGGGUCUU
rnacentral:rRNA from 1 species